GAUGAACGCUGGCGGCGUGCCUAACUCAUUCAAGUCGAACGGUGACGGGGGCUUCGGUCCCCUGAUCAUUGGCGGACGGGUGAGGAACGCGUGAGCAACCAGCCUUUCAUUGGGGGAUAACAACGGGAGACUUCUGCUAAUACCGCAUAACACAUUUGUGGGGCAUCCCUUUCAUGUCAAAGAUUUAUUGCUGAAAGAUGGGCUCGGGUCCGAUUAGAUAGUUGGUGAGGUAACGGCUCACCAAGUCUACCAUCGGUAGCCGGACUGGGAGGUUGAACGGCCACAUUGGAACUGAGAGACGGUCCAGACGCCUACGGGAGGCAGCAGUGGGGAAUAUUGGGCAAUGGGCGAAAGCCUGACCCAGCGACGCCGCGUGAGGGAAGAAGGUCUUCGGAUUGUAAACCUUUGUUGACAAGGAAGAAACAAAUGACGUAACUUGUCGAGGAAGCCACGGCUAACUACGUGCCAGCAGCCGCGGUAAGAC
rnacentral:rRNA from 1 species